rnacentral:rRNA from 1 species
AGUAGACAAUGGGCCGCAAGCCUGNUCUCGCGACGCCGCGUGAGGGAUGAAGGCCUUCGGGUUGUAAACCUCUUUUUUCAGGGAUGAAUAAUGACAGUACCUGGAGAAUAAGUCACGGCUAACUACGUGCCAGCAGCCGCGGUAAAACGUAGGUGGCUAACGUUAUCCGGAUUUACUGGGCGUAAAGCGUGCGUAGGUGGUUAGAUAAGUCAGAUGUAAAAUCUCCUGGCCUAACUGGGAGGGACCAUCUGAUACUGUUUAGCUUGAGUACAGAAGAGGAAAGUGGAAUUCCCGGUGUAGUGGUGGAAUGCGUAGAUAUCGGGAGGAACACCAGUGGCGAAAGCGGCUUUCUGGUCUGUUACUGACACUGUUGCACAAAAGCGUGGGGAGCAAACAGGAUUAGAUACCCUGGUAGUCCACGCUGUAAACUAUGAACACUGGGUACAGGGAGUAUCGACCCUUUCUGUGCCGAAGCUAACGCGUUAAGUGUUCCGUCUGAGGACUACGGCCGCAAGGUUAAAACUCAAAAAAAUUGACGG